rnacentral:rRNA from 1 species
AGAGUUUGAUCAUGGCUCAGAUUGAACGCUGGCGGUAUGCUUAACACAUGCAAGUCGAACGGCAGCAUGAUUAGUAGCAAUACUAAUUGAUGGCGAGUGGCGGACGGGUGAGGAACACGUAGGAAUCUGCCUUUAAGAGGGGGACAACCGGAGGAAACUCCGGCUAAUACCGCAUAAUACUCUGAGGAGGAAAGGCUGGG